GUGAGGAAUAUUGCACAAUGGGCGAAAGCCUGAUGCAGCAACGCCGCGUGGGUGAUGAAGGCCUUCGGGUCGUAAAACCCUUUUCCAGAGGAAGAGCAAGGACGGUACUCUGGGAAUAAGCCACGGCUAACUACGUGCCAGCAGCCGCGGUAAAACGUAGGUGGCGAGCGUUAUUCGGAUUUACUGGGCGUAAAGCGCGUGCAGGCGGUUUCGCAAGUCGGACGUUAAAUCUCCUGGCUCAACUGGGAGGCGUCGUUCGAAACUGCGAGACUUGAGGUCGGGAGAGGGGAGCGGAAUUCCCGGUGUAGUGGUGGAAUGCGUAGAUAUCGGGAGGAACACCUGUGGCGAAAGCGGCUCCCUGGCCCGCACCUGACGCUAAGACGCGAAAGCGUGGGGAGCGAACAGGAUUAGAAACCCGGGUAGUCC
rnacentral:rRNA from 1 species